AUGCAGUCGNNNGGCAGCACAGAGGAGCUUGCUCCUUGGGUGGCGAGUGGCGGACGGGUGAGGAAUACAUCGGAAUCUACUUUUUCGUGGGGGAUAACGUAGGGAAACUUACGCUAAUACCGCAUACGACCUACGGGUGAAAGCAGGGGAUCUUCGGACCUUGCGCGAUUGAAUGAGCCGAUGUCGGAUUAGCUAGUUGGCGGGGUAAAGGCCCACCAAGGCGACGAUCCGUAGCUGGUCUGAGAGGAUGAUCAGCCACACUGGAACUGAGACACGGUCCAGACUCCUACGGGAGGCAGCAGUGGGGAAUAUUGGACAAUGGGCGCAAGCCUGAUCCAGCCAUACCGCGUGGGUGAAGAAGGCCUUCGGGUUGUAAAGCCCUUUUGUUGGGAAAGAAAUCCAGCCGGCUAUUACCUGGUUGGGAUGACGGUACCCAAAGAAUAANCACCGGCUAACUUCGUGCCAGCAGCCGCGGUAAUACGAAGGGCGCAAGCGUUACUCGGAAUUACUGGGCGUAAAGNGNGCGUAGGUGGUUAUUUNAGUCCGUUGNGAAAGCCCUGGGCUCNACCUGGGAACUGCAGUGNNNGCUGGANGACUANAANGUGGUANANGGUAGCGGAANUCCUGGU
rnacentral:rRNA from 1 species